UGGGGAAUCUUGCGCAAUGGCCUAACGGCUGACGCAGCGACGCCGCGUGCGGGAGGAAGGUCUUCGGAUCGUAAACCGCUGUCAGGAGGGACGAACCUCACCGGGAGGCAAUGCCUGGUGGUUGACGGUACCUCCAGAGGAAGCACCGGCUAACUCCGUGCCAGCAGCCGCGGUAAUACAGAGGGUGCGAGCGUUGUCCGGAAUCACUGGGCGUAAAGGGCGCGUAGGCGGCCUGGUAAGUCGGGGGUGAAACGCUGCGGCUCAACCGCAGCACUGCCUUCGAGACUGUCAGGCUUGAGCACGGUAGAGGCUGGUGGAAUUCCCGGUGUAGCGGUGGAAUGCGUAGAGAUCGGGAAGAACAUCGGUGGCGAAGGCGGCCAGCUGGGCCGUUGCUGACGCUGAGGCGCGACAGCGUGGGGAGCAAA
rnacentral:rRNA from 1 species